AGAGUUUGAUCCUGGCUCAGAAUCAACGCUGGCGGCGUGCCUAACACAUGCAAGUCGCACGAGAAAGGGUAGCAAUGCCUGAGUAAAGUGGCGCACGGGUGAGUAACACGUGAAUAAUCUACCUCCGAGUGGGGAAUAACUGAGAGAAAUCUUAGCUAAUACCGCAUAACACUUACGAGUCAAAGCAGCAAUGCGCUUGGAGAGGAGUUCGCGGCCGAUUAGUUAGUUGGCGGGGUAAUGGCCCACCAAGACGAUGAUCGGUAUCCGGCCUGAGAGGGCGCACGGACACACUGGAACUGAAACACGGUCCAGACUCCUACGGGGGGCAGCAGUGGGGAAUUUUGCGCAAUGGGGGAAACCCUGACGCAGCAACGCCGCGUGGAGGAUGAAAUAUCUUGGUAUGUAAACUCCUUUCGAUGGGGAAGAUUAUGACGGUACCCAUAGAAGAAGCCCCGGCUAACUUCGUGCCAGCAGCCGCGGUAAUACGAGGGGGGCAAGCGUUGUUCGGAUUUAUUGGGCGUAAAGGGUGCGUAGGCGGUUUGGCAAGUCUGAUGUGAAAUCUAUGGGCUCAACCCAUAGUCUGCAUCAGAAACUGCCGGGCUUGAGUAUGGGAGAGGUGAGUGGAAUUUCCGGUGUAGCGGUGAAAUGCGUAGAUAUCGGAAGGAACACCUGUGGCGAAAGCGGCUCACUGGACCAUAACUGACGCUGAUGCACGAAAGCUAGGGGAGCAAACAGGAUUAGAUACCCUAGUAGUCC
rnacentral:rRNA from 1 species